rnacentral:misc_RNA from 1 species
AAACAAUAUAACUAUAAUUGGUCACGGCGAUGACCAGUUCUCCCUUUACUUCUUCUUCCUACAUAUUUAAAUUAGCUAGCAGCGCCGCGCUAUUUCUCACGGCGGAGUCUAAAAUUCCGGCAGACCAUUACGACGACAUUUACUAGUUUCCUUCAAUCCAAAUGGGCCAAUCUUCCUCAGCUCACGGCUUCUCCCCCACCAAUUCCAAUUAUCCCCACCACCGUUGUUCCGGCACCGACCAUUCCCAAUCGGAAUUUUUCUACCCUACACAAUCCGAUGAAGGUCAUUUCCCCAUUUCACAACCCUGUGAAAACCGAGAUUACACUGAUGGUCUUCCCGACGAAUGUUUAGCUCUAAUUUUCCAGUCCUUAAGCUCCGGUGAUCGGAAAAGAUCCUCCCUUGUCUGCCGGAGAUGGCUUCUGGUUGAAGGGAUUAGCCGUCACCGGCUUUCUCUAAACGCAAAAAGCGAAAUCAUUCCGGAUAUACCCACCAUCUUCUCUCGUUUCGAUUCCGUAACCAAACUCGCUCUCCGAUGUGACCGAAGAUCGGUGAGCAUAAACGAUGAAGCUUUGAUCCUCAUCUCCCAACGGUGCGUUAACCUAACGCGCCUAAAGCUUCGUGGUUGCCGAGAUAUAACCGAUUUGGGAAUGGCUUGUUUGGCAAAGAAUUGUGAGAAAUUGAAGAAAUUCUCUUGCGGGUCUUGUAUGUUUGGAGCUGAAGGUAUGAACGCUUUGCUUAUUAACAGCAUUUCCCUUGAAGAACUCUCUGUUAAACGUUUACGAUGUAUGAAUCAUACUAUAUCUACUGAACCGAUUAGCAUUGGAUCUAAUGCUGCUUGUUUACUUAAAUCUAUAUGCUUAAAAGAGCUUUAUAAUGGACAAUGUUUUGGACCUUUGAUCAUGGGAUCGAAGAAUUUGAAGACGUUGAAAUUGUUGCGAUGUUUGGGUGAUUGGGAUAGGGUGUUGG